rnacentral:rRNA from 1 species
ACUCCUACGGGAGGCAGCAGUGGGGAAUAUUGGACAAUGGGCGAAAGCCUGAUCCAGCAAUGCCGCGUGAGUGAUGAAGGCCUUAGGGUUGUAAAGCUCUUUUACCCGGGAAGAUAAUGACUGUACCGGGAGAAUAACGCCCCGGCUAACUCCGUGCCAGCAGCCGCGGUAAUACGGAGGGGGCUAGCGUUGUUCGGAAUUACUGGGCGUAAAGCGCACGUAGGCGGCUUUGUAAGUCAGAGGUGAAAGCCUGGAGCUCAACUCCAGAACUGCCUUUGAGACUGCAUCGCUUGAAUCCAGGAGAGGUGAGUGGAAUUCCGAGUGUAGAGUGAAAUUCGUAGAUAAUUCGGAAGAACACCAGUGGCGAAGGCGGCUCACUGGACUGGUAUUGACGCUGAGGUGCGAAAGCGUGGGGAGCAAACAGGAUUA